GAAAGUCGGGCCUGCCCGCUGAGGUGUUGAAGGGCCGCGGUAUUUUGACUGUGCAAAGGUAGCAUAAUCAUUAGUCUUUUAAUUGAAGGCUUGUAUGAAUGGUUUGACGAAACGUGAACUGUCUUUUUAUAAAGUAUAUAAUUUAACUUUUGAGUUAAAAGGCUCAAAUAAAUGUAGAGGACGAGAAGACCCUAUAGAGCUUGAUAGUAUUGAUUAGGUAGUUUUGUGGAUAAAUUAUGAUUAUUUGGUUAAUGUUAUUUUGUUGGGGUGACAUGGAGAUAUAAUAAACUCUUUAAAAUAUAGAACAUAGAUGAAUGGUUGAUUGAUCCAGUAAUAUUGAUUAUUAGAUGAAGUUACCUUAGGGAUAACAGCGUAAUUUUUUUUAAGAGUUCAUAUCAACAAAAAAGAUUGCGACCUCGAAUGUUGGAUUAAGAUAAUGACUGGGUGCAGUAGUUCAGUUAAUAGGUCUGUU
rnacentral:rRNA from 1 species